rnacentral:rRNA from 1 species
CGUAGGGCGCGAGCGUUGUCCGGAUUUAUUGGGCGUAAAGAGCUCGUAGGCGGCUUGUCGCGUCGACUGUGAAAACCCACGGCUCAACUGUGGGCUUGCAGUCGAUACGGGCAGGCUAGAGUUCGGUGAGGGGAGACUGGAAUUCCUGGUGUAGCGGUGAAAUGCGCAGAUAUCAGGAGGAACACCGAUGGCGAAGGCAGGUCACUGGGCCGCAACUGACGCUGAGGAGCGAAAGCAUGGGGAGCGAACAGG